rnacentral:lncRNA from 1 species
CUGCAGACUGAGCGGUGGACCGAAUUGGGACCGCUGGCUUAUAAGCGAUCAUGUUUCUCCAGUAUUACCUCAACGAGCAGGGAGAUCGAGUCUAUACGCUGAAGAUGACAAAUACUCUCGACACCGAAUCACCAUCAAGAAACGCUUCAAGGUGCUCAUGACCCAGCAACCGCGCCCUGUCCUCUGAGGGUCCCUUAAACUGAUGUCUUUUCUGCCACCUGUUACCCCUCGGAGACUCCGUAACCAAACUCUUCGGACUGUGAGCCCUGAUGCCUUUUUGCCAGCCAUACUCUUUGGCAUCCAGUCUCUCGUGGCGAUUGAUUAUGCUUGUGUGAGGCAAUCAUGGUGGCAUCACCCAUAAAGGGAACACAUUUGACUUUUUUUUCUCAUAUUUUAAAUUACUACAAGAUUAUUAAAGAUAAAAUGAUUUGAAAAA